rnacentral:rRNA from 1 species
GACGAACGCUGGCGGCGUGCUUAACACAUGCAAGUCGAACGAAGAGCGACGGAAGCUUGCUUCUAUCAAUCUUAGUGGCGAACGGGUGAGUAACGCGUAAUCAACCUGCCCUUCAGAGGGGGACAACAGUUGGAAACGACUGCUAAUACCGCAUACGAUCUAAUCUCGGCAUCGAGGAUGGAUGAAAGGUGGCCUCGACAUGUAAGCUAUCACUGAAGGAGGGGAUUGCGUCUGAUUAGCUAGUUGGAGGGGUAACGGCCCACCAAGGCGAUGAUCAGUAGCCGGUCUGAGAGGAUGAACGGCCACAUUGGGACUGAGACACGGCCCAGACUCCUACGGGAGGCAGCAGUGGGGAAUCUUCCGCAAUGGACGAAAGUCUGACGGAGCAACGCCGCGUGAGUGAUGACGGCCUUCGGGUUGUAAAGCUCUGUUAAUCGGGACGAAAGGCCUUCUUGCGAAUAGUGAGAAGGAUUGACGGUACCGGAAUAGAAAGCCACGGCUAACUACGUG